GACGAACGCUGGCGGCGUGCUUAACACAUGCAAGUCGAACGGAAAGGCCCUGCUUUUGUGGGGUGCUCGAGUGGCGAACGGGUGAGUAACACGUGAGUAACCUGCCCUUGACUUUGGGAUAACUUCAGGAAACUGGGGCUAAUACCGGAUAGGAGCUCCUGCUGCAUGGUGGGGGUUGGAAAGUUUCGGCGGUUGGGGAUGGACUCGCGGCUUAUCAGCUUGUUGGUGGGGUAGUGGCUUACCAAGGCUUUGACGGGUAGCCGGCCUGAGAGGGUGACCGGGCACAUUGGGACUGAGAUACGGACCAGACUGCUACGGGAGGCAGCAGUGGGGAAUCUUGCACAAUGGGCGGAAGCCUGAUGCAGAAACGCCGCGUGCGGGAUGACGGCCUUCGGGUUGUAAACCGCUUUCGCCUGUGACGAAGCGUGAGUGACGGUAAUGGGUAAAGAAGCACCGGCUAACUACGUG
rnacentral:rRNA from 1 species